rnacentral:lncRNA from 1 species
UUGGCCAUUGUCUCCUAGGUUUCUUAUAGUCUAGAAUAAAUCAUUUUUCAUUACAUUGACUUUUGACAGGCUGGACCAGAUGUCCUACCCUUUUGGAAUUGUCUAGUUAUUUAUUUGUAGUAUGACAUUUCUUUAUUUUAUUCCUGUAUGUACAUCAAACUUGAAGUUAGAUCUAAAGUGUCAGUCAAUUUAAGUGAAACAUUUUAUAUCUUAGGUAAUGUAUACUUCAUGUUGCAUCUUAUUAGAUGUUUUUAAAGCUUUAUAUAUAUAUAUAAGUUGAAUCUUGUUGACUUUCUCAAAAUCCUGAGGAAUCUGCAGUGCAUCAACAUCUCCACAGUAGGUACCAUAAAUGGUUAACAGUUUCUGUAAGGCAACUUUGCACUAGCCUAUUUUGAGCAUAGAACACAACUUUGAAGAUUAAAUCCCAUCCAGGGACUGAUUGGUAGAAGACAACUAGUCAGGGAACAUAGGAGGGAAAUACUUAAUUGCCAUAAAGUGGGUAGAUACCAGUCCACAAAUAAUUCUAAAUUAACUACGAAUAUGCUGUUUCAUGUUUGUAGACUCAUAGAUGUUUUGUGUUAUUAGUGGCUGUUCUGGAUUAUAAACUCCCAUGAGAGGUUAUUUUAAAAUCAGAAUUUUUAAUUUUUAAUAUUUAUCACUACUGCUUAUAUCCUCACUUUAACCUACCUAAUGCUGUUUCACUCAAAUGUCUUUUCUUUCUUCCCUGUAACAGUUGUGCAGAAGAUUCUGACCUUAUUUGAGGCUUACAUAUAGGUUUGGAGAUGUGGAAAGGAGUGGAAAAAGAAAUAUGUAAGCUGAAGUGCCAAACUCACACUGAAAUAAAGGGCAUGGCCUACCAGCUGACAAGGAGUGUCUGGUUUCAAGAUGGCAAAUGACCCUAAACAUGAUAGACAAAUACGUUUUACAUAGGUACAUGCACAGAUAGGCACAUAUAAAUCCACAUUUGCAAGCAAAAAGUGGAACCUGUAAAGCAGAAUUUCUGAGGAAUCUCUAAAAGACUAAUACUAUAUGGAAUUUGAAGAGGAAACCCAGAGCAGAAGCACAUAGUGAAGUACUGCCACAAAGAUGUGUGACGCCACUAAAGGUGCUCUAGACCCACAAGAAAGGAAAACUGGGAGCAGGACAACUAUCUGGAUAUUGACUGCACAUGCCAAUAUCUCAGUCAGACUAACAGAAUCAGAGCUUUAGGCAGAGAAAUGAAUGGUUGGAGAGAGAAGGCAAUGCCCAGGUGCCCUGCUUUGAAAUGUCCCGCCCAUCCCCAAAUUAGUCUGAAAAUUUCAAAUGUUGUAUAAAUUCCCUUCCCAUCAAAAGUGUCCCAUAAACAGCAGUGGUAGAAGAGUUUUAACUGAGUAUCACAGCUUCAAUGAUGAGUAUAGAAAACUCCAAAAAUCUGAAUACCAACACAAUCAAAAAAGAGGUACAAACCACAAGUGGAAGAACCAUCUCAAGAAAUAAUGAAGCAUUCAUGGAAUACAGAUUAGCAACUCUUUAAAACAGUAUUGCCAAGAGAAACAGGUGGCAUUGCAGUUGUCAGAUCUCAUUAAGGUCUUAUAUCUGAAACAGUUCCACUGUCUUCCAUAACUUUCAUAACUUUGAACAUUUUGGCUCAUAGGCGAAAGGGAAUUGCCUUAUUUCGAAUGAGACUUUGGACUGUGGACUUCUGAGUUGAUGCUGAAAUGAGUUAAGACUUUGGGGGACUGCUGGGAAGGCAUGAUUGGUUUUGAAAUGUGAGGACGUGAGAUUUGGGAGGGGUUGGGGUGGAAUGAUAUGGUUUGGCUGUGUCCUCACUCAAAUCUCAUCUUGAAUUCCCACAUGUUGUGGGAGGGAUCGGUGGGAGGUAAUUGACUCACGGGGCCAAGUCUUGCUGUUCUUGUGAUAGUGAAUAAGUCUCACAAGAUCUGAUGGUUUUAAAAAGAGGAGUUCCCCUGCACAAGUUCUCUCUCUUUGCCUACUGCCAUCUACGUUAAGACAUGACUUGCUCCUCCUUGCCUUCCACCAUGAUUGCAAGGUAUCCCCAGCCAUGUAGAACUGUAAGUCCAUUAAAUCCUUUUUCCUGUAUAAAUUACCCAGUUUCAGGUAUGUCUUUAUCAGCAGCAUGAAUAUGGACUAAUACAGAAAUUAAAAUGAUGCCUGACACAUAAUUGCUUAAUAAAUAUUAGCUAUUAUUAUUUGACAUUA